GAAACCCACCUGGCAUAAGCCAGGUAUCGUACACUGAAUACAUAGGUGUACGAAGCGAACCCGGAGAACUGAAACAUCUAAGUACCCGGAGGAAAAGAAAUCAACCGAGAUUCCCUUAGUAGCGGCGAGCGAACGGGGAGCAGCCUGCAAGUGAUAGUAGAAGUGUUAGUGGAACAGUCUGGAAAGUCUGGCAAUAAAGGGUGAUAGCCCCGUACACGAAAACUCAUCUAUGGUACUAAGCUUGCGAAAAGUAGGUCGGGACACGAGUUAUCUUGACUGAACAUGGGGGGACCAUCCUCCAAGGCUAAAUACUACCAACUGACCGAUAGUGAACUAGUACCGUGAGGGAAAGGUUAAAAGAACCCCGGAGAGGGGAGUGAAAUAGAUCCUGAAACCGUAUGCGUACAAGCAGUAGGAGCAGACUUGUUCUGUGACUGCGUACCUUUUGUAUAAUGGGUCAGCGACUUAUUUUCAGUGGCAAGGUUAACCGUAUAGGGGAGCCGUAGGGAAACCGAGUCUUAAUAGGGCGUCUUAGUCGCUGGGAAUAGACCCGAAACCGGGCGAUCUAUCCAUGGCCAGGUUGAAGGUGCCGUAACUGGAGGACCGAACCCACUAAUGUUGAAAAAUUAGGGGAUGAGCUGUGGAUCGGAGUGAAAGGCUAAUCAAGCCCGGAGAUAGCUGGUUCUCCUCGAAAGCUAUUUAGGUAGCGCCUCAUGUCUCACCACUGGGGGUAGAGCACUGUUUCGGCUAGGGGGUCAUACCGACUUACCAACCCGAUGCAAACUCCGAAUACCAGUGAGUGCAAUCAUGGGAGACACACGGCGGGUGCUAACGUUCGUCGUGGAGAGGGAAACAACCCAGACCGCCAGCUAAGGUCCCAAAUAUCAGUUAAGUGGGAAACGAUGUGGGAAGGCUCAGACAGCUAGGAGGUUGGCUUAGAAGCAGCCAUCCUUUAAAGAAAGCGUAAUAGCUCACUAGUCGAGUCGGCCUGCGCGGAAGAUUUAACGGGGCUAAACUGAUAACCGAAGCUGCGGAUGCAUGUUUACAUGCAUGGUAGAGGAGCGUUCUGUAAGCCGUUGAAGGUGCAUCGUAAGGUGUGCUGGAGGUAUCAGAAGUGCGAAUGCUGACGUGAGUAACGAUAAAGCGGGUGAAAAACCCGCUCGCCGGAAGAUCAAGGUUUCCUGUCCAACGCUAAUCGGGACAGGGUUAGUCGGUACCUAAGGCGAGGCCGAAAGGCGUAGUCGAUGGAAAACAGGUUAAUAUUCCUGUACCGCUAUAUACUGCGAUGGGGGGACGGAGAAGGCUAGGUGAUCAGGGCGUUGGUUGUCCCUGUAUAAGCAUGUAGGGAGAUUCCUUAGGUAAAUCCGGGGAAUCACUAUCCUGAGACGCGAUAUCGAGCUCAAUUGCGAGCGAAGUCAUUGAUGCCAUGCUUCCAAGAAAAGCCUCUAAGCUUCAGGUAUAUAGAGACCGUACUCUAAACCGACACAGGUGAUCAGGUAGAGAAUACCAAGGCGCUUGAGAGAACUAUGGUGAAGGAACUAGGCAAAAUGGUGCCGUAACUUCGGGAGAAGGCACGCCGAUUUUGGUGAUGGGAUUUACUCCCUAAGCUGAGGUUGGCCGCAGAGACCAGGCCCCUGCGACUGUUUAUCUAAAACACAGCACUCUGCAAACUCGUAAGAGGAAGUAUAGGGUGUGACGCCUGCCCGGUGCCGGAAGGUUAAUUGAUGGGGUUAGCUUCGGCGAAGCUCUUGAUCGAAGCCCCGGUAAACGGCGGCCGUAACUAUAACGGUCCUAAGGUAGCGAAAUUCCUUGUCGGGUAAGUUCCGACCUGCACGAAUGGCGUAACGAUGGGGGCGCUGUCUCCACCAUAGACUCAGUGAAAUCGAAAUCGCGGUGAAGAUGCCGUGUUCCCGCGGCUAGACGGAAAGACCCCGUGAACCUUUACUAUAGCUUGGCACUGAACUUUGAACCUAUCUGUGUAGGAUAGGUGGGAGGCUUUGAAGCGUGAUCGCUAGAUUG
rnacentral:rRNA from 1 species